UACGUAGGGGGGCGAGCGUUGUCCGGAAUCAUUGGGCGUAAAGCGCGUGUAGGCGGCCCGGUAAGUCCGCUGUGAAAGUCCAGGGCUCAACCCUGGGAUGCCGGUGGAUACUGUCGAGCUCGAGUCCGGAAGAGGCGAGUGGAAUUCCUGGUGUAGCGGUGAAAUGCGCAGAUAUCAGGAGGAACACCAAUGGCGAAGGCAGCUCGCUGGGACGUGACUGACGCUGAGACGCGAAAGCGUGGGGAGCAAACAGGAUUAAGAUACCCG
rnacentral:rRNA from 1 species